GGAAGAAGUCCGCGAGCUCAACAGUUUUCCUGCUCUCCCAUAAAGAAACAUGAGGCCCUGUUCUCAACUCGGAUAGACGCCAGCACAGAGAAGUCCUUGGGAAAGCAAGGAAGACUAUCCACCUCGGGUUCAGCACGCAGAUGCACCUUCCCUGCUGCAUGCAAGAAGUAUAACGUAUUUGUUCGUUACAGGAGAGCUCGUAGCUCUUGUCCCUGAGUCAGGCUACUCACUGCACUCGGUCUCCAUUCAGAAGUCGCCUCCAAGGACCAGCGAUGACAUUUUGGGGUGGAUGCGCUGUGCCUCCCAUACUCCUACGGGGGUCUGCCCACCUUUCCUUUGGGUCCCCUGGUUCACGCCAGGUUCAACAUGAAAUGAAACCUUCUCUCCUCAUUCCUCCUCAGGACAGUAUGUGACAAGAGCCCAAGACAGCAGAGGAAAUGAGGAACUGUCAAACUGGUUAUUUGAAUCAAUUUUCGUUACUGAGGGGGAGGACUUACUUGAUGGGAUGGAAGAACACUUUGAGGAAUUGGGUUUAUUAACUAGGAAGUUAGGCUAAAAUUGCUGAUACUAGGGCAGGCUGAUGACUCCUUAUUCAUGAGAAUCACCAUAAGAGAGUCUCUCUUGCAUUCCCUAUUAGGGUUAAAAUUGUAUCAAUUAUGAAAGCUGUCAGCCUCUAUAAAUUAAGAAAUUCAUGUGCAGUGUGUGUGAGAGAGUAUUUCAUAUGUUUGACAGGGAAUACAUGACCUUGAAGGGUAAGGAUGUGUGAGGAGUGGUGCUGCAGCAAAAUUUUCUUUAUUUUACAUGGUAAUAAAAUUUUCUGUGCUUUCUGAUGCUCCUGAUUGCUUCUGUGACUCCCGAGGGGAGUGCAAGCCGGAUGA